UCGCGCGCCUGUCAUUUCCUCUAGUCAUCUUCUCUCUCUAGGGUUUCUCUCUCUCCUCUAUCCGCUCUCGCACCCACCGACGAUUUUCGGCUGCAUCACCCCCAUCGGCUUGCGCAUCUGGACGCUCAGCGGGGAAUCACGUGGGUUGAAGCGGAGAUCGUACUAAGUUGAGCUUUUCCUCCAGCACGCUCGUAUCAUUUUGAUUCCCAUGGCAUUUAAUCCAGGUUUUUUCGCUGUUUUUUGCUCUUGCUUUUUGGUGGAGGUCAUUGCCCCCGAGCAGCUGGAAUCCGGAGCUGGGAAGGAGUGCGGGAAGCGCAGAUCAGAUAGUUGAGCUCAUCCCCCCUCCCCGUGCAUCCACUUGAAUCUCUUCACAACUUGUCUCAGAUAGGUGUUUCUGCAAUUUGGUGGUGGAAAGACUUUUCAGUGCACGAAGAUUGUAUUUAUAGUGGAAGGAUUUCUGCUAGUUGAAAAAGUGCCACAGGUUCUAAGGAACAGGGCCUCCCCUACUAGGUUUGUCAAGCUAUAUAGGGUCAUGUCUGAAGAUCGGAAGAAGAUGAUUCGAGAUGUGCAUUUCGAUGGGCUGCUCAAGAUUGAAUGCGCCACCAUUCCAACAAAGUUUGCAAACUGGCUAAUGGUUGAGUGCUUCAAUCCAGACACUUCAGAGCUUGUUCUCUCUGGAAGGGGAAGGAUUUCAGUCACAGCACAAUCCGUUGCUGAUAUAUUGCAUUUGCCAAGCAGGGGUGCUGAAGUCAAAUAUGAGCUUGACGUGGACGCCAUCAAUUUUAUACACAACAAGUUUGGCAUUCUGCAAGGUUCAGCACCAAAGAUUGAAUAAAUAAUUAAAAGGAUCAAGAAUAACAAGGACGCAAACGAAGAUUUCCUAAGGUCCUGGCUGAUGAUCGCAGUGUCGAUUUUUCUGUACCCUCCCACCAGCUUGGGGAUAAGUCCUAGUCCCUCAUUAGUGGACGUCUCAAGAGUGAAGAAGUUGAAUUGGUGUCAGUUUGUGGUCGACCAGCUCAAGAUUAUCUAUGCAGAUUCUCUAGUUGUUCAAAAUGUACAAAUCCCUGCCACCAUGCCAAGGAUUGCUGCAUGGACAAGGAAGCUGUUGAACGAGGUCAUCAAGCUGGAUACGAAUCGUGAUGGUUCAUUUGGCAAGCUUA